GGGAUGCUGGCAACACACGUAGCCUGAGGAUUGCUCCCCUUCCCGUUGCAUUUUGGUUAUGGCACUGCUGUGCUGAAGCACACGUCCUGACAUCUGGCUCUGCAGGAUGAGCUUUCUUACUGUUUCGUACUACUUUGUGUCACAUGAAGGGAUUGUGGAGCUGUGUAGUCAUCUCAAAUCUGCGCCAGCACCUAGUGGGAAAUGAUGUGUUCUGGACUGUGUUGGUGCUGCUGUAUAGUACCACUGACGUGCAGAUGACUUCUGGAAAAGGUUGGCAUGAAAGCAUUGGAGCUUGUGACAGGAAGAGCUGCCGAUCAAGUGACGAGCUGAGAGCUGAGAGCAGAGCCCAGAUCUGUGGAGCAUGGGGAAUCAGCUCUGCUUUUUUUCUGCAAAUGACUUUUAAAAAUACAAGGACAACAGUCUUGAUUAGAAAGGCCAAGCUACGCAAUUAUUUCUUCCUUGUGAAAGGAGGUGUCAGGGAGGAAGAUGUUUUUCUCUCCGUUGUCUGCCUGCCUUGCUGAGCUCGUUUCAGCUGACAUUACUCAGGCAGCAAUGCCCAG
rnacentral:lncRNA from 1 species